rnacentral:sRNA from 1 species
UCCAUCAGGUUUUUGGAGUCUGCCCUGUAACAAACGUUGUCCGACGUCAUGCCCUGAUGACUGUGAUAGAGACACUGGAGCAUGCAACAUUGUUGUUAUCGGACGCAGCAAUCCACAGCAGUGUGAUGCAGCCUGCAGCAAUGGACGUUAUGGAAUAAAUUGUCGCAAUGAUUGCAGUAACGAAUGCAUUGAAGGCAUAUGUGACGUUAGGACUGGACUCUGCGAUCAGGAAUGUAACUGUUACAAUGAUCCGCCAUACUGUAAAACUGAUGUAUACAAAUUCAAUCUAGAACUUGUCAGUUUCGGAAUUGGAUGCGCAGCUUGUGGGGGACUUUGCAUUCUUGUGAUCUUAGCCUUGGUACUGAGUAAGACUAUCGUUUGCCAAUGUAAACAAAGGUCAAGGCUAGAGCCUGAAUUGCUUUUUGGAAAAGAAAGAAAUCAUUAUAAUGAACAUAAAGAAACAUCAGACGACCAUUUUUAUGAGCCGGUACUGAGUUGUCGUAACAACAUUGGAGGAAACCCCAUAGUGGCUUUUAGGAAAGACACCACUGAAUAUGCAGAGGCGUAGCGAGAAUAACAUGUGCACGUCCCUUAAUCGACGUCAUCCCCCAUUCCCUUUUCCAGAAAUAACACCUAGUACUACAGGCUUAUAUAUUAUACAUAUUAAAAGAAUGAUUUACUUAACACCAAAUUUCUGCAUUAGGCUAUUCAUGUAUUACUAAAGCCACUUGCUACAUUCGCUUUUUACUAAACACAAUUAUUUUUUUAAAGUGAUCAAUGCUACGCUGUUCUUUAAAUUAAAGUUUAACGGAUUUGUAUAAAUCGAAUUUUUAAAUUUAAUUUCCAUACGGUGGCAGGA